rnacentral:rRNA from 1 species
UACGGAAGGCAGCAGUGGGGAAUAUUGCACAAUGGGCGCAAGCCUGAUGCAGCCAUGCCGCGUGUAUGAAGAAGGCCUUCGGGUUGUAAAGUACUUUCAGUCGUGAGAAAGGUGUUAAGGUUAAUAACCUUAGCAAUUGACGUUAGCGACAGAAGAAGCACCGGCUAACUCCGUGCCAGCAGCCGCGGUAAUACGGAGGGUGCGAGCGUUAAUCGGAAUUACUGGGCGUAAAGGGCACGCAGGCGGUUAAUUAAGUUGGAUGUGAAAUCCCCGGGCUUAACCUGGGAAUGGCAUUCAAGACUGGUUAGCUAGAGUCUUGUAGAGGGGGUAGAAUUCCAUGUGUAGCGGUGAAAUGCGUAGAGAUGUGGAGGAAUACCGGUGGCGAAGGCGGCCCCUGGACAAAGACUGACGCUCAUGUGCGAAAGCGUGGGGAGCAAACAGGGAUUAGAUACC